CAGAACAUAGCUUAAAUAAAGCAUUUUGUUUACACCAAAAAAAUAUUUAUUAACUUAAAUUGUUCUG
rnacentral:tRNA from 1 species